rnacentral:rRNA from 1 species
UACGGGGGGGGCAAGCGUUGUUCGGAAUUACUGGGCGUAAAGGGCUCGUAGGCGGCCAACUAAGUCAUACGUGAAAUCCCUCGGCUUAACCGGGGAACUGCGUCUGAUACUGGAUGGCUUGAGUUCGGGAGAGGGAUGCGGAAUUCCGAGUGUAGAGGUGAAAUUCGUAGAUAUUCGGAAGAACACCAGUGGCGAAGGCGACUCGCUGGACAGGUAUUGACGCUGAGGUGCGAAAGCGUGGGGAGCAAACAGG